CCAUCUUAUCCCCUCCCCUCCUCAAACUCUCACUCUCUUCCCCCUCCUUUCUCUCUACCGAGCCACCAGCAUAGAGGCAAGCAGAGCAGGGCCAUCGCUUUUCCACCGAGCGCUGGCCAAAAUUCAAGAGCUCGGGGCCAAAUCCACAAGCUUCAAGCCCAUGAAGGCAAGGGAGAAGUUUGUUGUCCCCUCCUCGACCGACUUUCAUCAGUUCUCCAUUGUCUCCUGGCGGAUUUCACCUCCCGAGUAUCUUCUUCCCCAAUUCUGGCGACUUCCCCACCACCUCAUCGACGCACUGCCUCUCCCGAGCCUCUCUGUUUAGUCUGCGAGCACGAGAAUGAAGAGCCAGAGAGCAACACGGGCGUGGUCGAGGGUGAUCAAGAGGGUGUUCUGUGGAUUGUGAAGUCAAAAAUCAAGGCAAACAUCUAUGCAUAUUUCACCCAUAAUUUGGAUCAUAUGUUGUUUUGAUGAGGACAACCUUAUGACAUAUUCUUCAGCACCACUUAAUGAUCAAGAUAUACGCAUCGAGUUGCCAACUGGACCAAUUACAAGAGCACAUACCAAGAAAAUACAAGAUCAAGUGAACUUGCUUCUUACUAACCAUAUCAUUAAUUUUAAGAAGAAUUUUAUACUACCUCAACCUUGUAAUUUACUUGUGCUUAGGUAUUUGGAUCAAUACGAUGCACAAGAGGAAGAAAAGUUGCAUUGCUUGUUGGCACAUAGACUAAGAAGAGAUAAGGGAUGCAUGGGAGAAAAAGGUUAUCACAAGGUGUUUAAAGGUCAUAUGCAGCUGUACAUGAACUUUCCAAAGACAUUGAAGACUUGCCUUCCAAGUACUACACGAAAUCAAUCAAGGAGUGGCAAGAUAUGAAAGAUUGAAGUCGACUUGGACUCGGUUUGUUGCAGCCAAACAUAUGUUGAUUAAAAGUACCAUAAGUCUCUCAUAUGAAAUUGGUUUGGGCUGUGUAAGUACCCGUUGGAAAGCUUAUUUGACACCUUUCAACGUAUCCAAUCCUAUUGCUAAAUUCGUAAUGA